rnacentral:rRNA from 1 species
UACGGAAGGGGCAAGCGUUGUUCGGAAUCAUUGGGCGUAAAGGGCGCGCAGGUGGCUCUGUAUGUCUACCGUGAAGGCGUACGGCUCAACCGUAUUUGUCGGUAGAAACUGCAGGACUUGAGGCUGGGAGGGGCUGGUGGAAUUCCCUGUGUAGCGGUGAAAUGCGUAGAGAUGGGGAGAACAUCGUGCGUAGGCGGAAGGCGGCCAGCCUAGACCAGUUCUGAGCACUGACGGCGCGACGAGCAUGGGGAGCAAACAG